UGCCCAGCAACUCCUAUCCCUACUUCCUCGUGGUACAGGUCGAGGUACGAGUAACCUAAGGGAAGAUCGGGUAACCAAGCCCGGUGUGAACUUUCAUCGUAUAUUGACAGGAAAGG
rnacentral:ribozyme from 1 species